rnacentral:lncRNA from 1 species
UUAUGAUUUCCUAAAAAGUUUGGCUCGCGCCAAAAUCAUUCUCAUACUCAGUUAUCAAGAAUACCUUGGCCGAUGGCUAUCCCAACCGAGUCCGCCAAGGCUAUUAAAAAGUUAUGUACGCAUAAAUCAUCUUUUUAUUUUGAAACAUAGCCAUUCCUUGACGUUGGCUGAGUUCACCCUCACGUGGUGGUUUGGCAUGAAGUAAACUCUAAAGUUUUAACCUCAGGAGUUAUCCAACCGCGCCUCUCAUAUUGAGGUAUGAAUAUAAUAGGGUUACAGUGCCCCUUUAAUAGGUUGGUCCGCGAAACCCGUCCACUACAGCAAUCGAUUUAUAACCCACCAAUUCAAUAAAAUUCAACAGCAUGACUUGGCAAUUAUUUUAUUUUACAACCUCUCAAGGCAAAUUAACAGUUCAUACAUUUUCAACACAUUUACCAAUUCAACCAUUCAUGCCAAUAUUAUCAUAAGCCAUUUAAUUCAAACCAUGAUUUAUAACACAACAAUUAGUCUCCAAUUACUCCAUUUUCAAAACAAUCUUUCAAUUUCAAGACAAUUUUAUAAAAUCAUUUCAUUUUAUCUUAUUUUGCUUAUAAAACAUAAAGAUUUACCAUUAAACUCAUUUUUCUUUCAAAUCACAAAAAUGAAUAAAAACUACUUUAGAUAAUUAAGACAAUAAUAAAGUUACUCACUGUAAUGGGAAUUGAAUUUCAAGUACUCCGAUUCUUGAUCCUCGGGUACUAUCUCUUUACUUUUGCCAAAAUGCUCACCACCUAGACAUAAUGCACAAUAAGCCAUCUACUACAUUUGUGCUAAAUUGUUAUAAAACCAAUUCAGGCUCUAUACUAAUGCAUGAAAUGGGAUGUAAAUUAUUCAGAUUAUCGUCCAAACACGGUGUUCUACACAAAUUCAAUUAUGUACCUAAAUAAAACGGUAUUGGCCUAAUUCGAUCUAUCACUUGAUUAAUUGGCCAAUAUGUCCAACUCAACUCCAAUAAUUCCAUUUUUCUCUCAAUACUUCAAAUCACCAAACACAAGUCAAAUAACAUAAAAUUUAGCAAAACCAUCCUCACAUUUCUUCUUGAGAAUUUCGGCCACUGUGAGUGCAUCAACACUAUGAUUUUUCCUACUUGAUUUUCUCACCAUAAUUCAUCAUUUCCUAACCAAUUUACUUGAAAUAAAAUCAAAUCCACCAUCAACACUCUACAAGGAAGAUUCUGCCAAUGAUGAACUCAUGAGGAAUAUGUGAAUUUCAAGCUUAAUUCUUACACUUAACACCAUAAAUAACUAAAAACAUCCAUAUGUCUUAAAAAUCUAUCUACAUCAUCAUCAAAUUCUCUCUCCUAGAGUUUGAUCAGCACACUAUCCUUCAUGAUAUCCUGUGAUUCAACUAUGGAAAAUGCAAAAUAAUGCAUAGGAAAGAUGGAUCACAAGCUAGAGUUAUGAAAUUUCACCUUUGAUGGCUUGAUUACUUGAAAUCCACCAAUUUUCUCUUGAAUUUUCACUCUAGGGUUUUUGUUCUUCUUUUCUUCCUUUGUUAUUGCUAUGGUCGGCCA